CAAAGGAAUACUCCCGAAACAAAACUAUACUCAAUUAGGGGGCAAACACCACCGGACUCAACACCCACCGCCCCAAAUACAGUUUCCCAGCCAAUAACCCAAUCCAAAGCAGUGAAAGAAAUGACCACAGCGACAGCAACCACAGACAACAGACAAUGUCCACAAAUUCCACGGGCUACUAUUAGCAUAAUACUAAGAAUGGAAUAUGAAAUAAUGAAAUAAAAUGGAAUAUGAAAUAACGAAAAUAACAAAGGUUAGAAGUCACCGGAUUACGCUUGGAGCUGCGGCUGCUUGAGAC
rnacentral:lncRNA from 1 species